GGGAGCUUGGGCCUGUGAGGUGGAGCCUCUGCUUCCCUCGGUGCUCCGCAGGAGUCGCCGAGGCGUCCUUCCUGUGGCUCGCUCUGGGCGGCCCGCAAUCCCUCCCUUCGGCCGCCGCGCCGCCGCCGCUGGAGGCAAGGGCGUGAGCUGCCCCUGGAGCCGUGAGGCCCGCUCGGCGGCUGCAGCUACGUGAGGCCGAGGCUUCCGAACAGUGCGGGCCCAGGGCUCCUGGGUUCAGAGCUGGAGGCUAGGGCCCCGGCGCGGCCGCCGGCCGAGGCUAGCCCGAGGCCCCGCUUGCCGGCAGAAAACCGCACCUCGCCGGAAGAGGACGCCGCCCAGGCGGCGCGGACACUGCCAGUUGGCGCACCGUCGCCGUCCGGCCUCUGCAGUAGUAUUUCGCCUGGGCCGCGUGGCCGUUCGCCCCUCCACCGCUGUACACGGCAGCACGGGGAGGAGACGGGAGCGGCUCUUGUUCCGUGGGGCGGCCCCCCACCCCGUGCUAGGAAACGGGCCUACGUGAAGGUCACUCCUCCUCGGCGAGUGCCCCUCGGAUACCCCGCGGGGGGACAGUCGCACCACCGCCACUGCCCGUUCCACCAUCUCUCCUUUGCUCCUUCCCCUCUCAAAAGGCACUAAUUUUAAGGAAAAAAAAUCUAAGUGAUAAAAAAGAACCAGGCUUUCCACCAAGUUCUUAAUAACCCAAAGCACAAAUUUAGUGAGGGGCAACUUUAUAAUAGCAGGAAGUAGGGUCCUUCAAUAAGUUCAUUUAUCAGAUUCAACUAUGCGUCCAUUAUUCUAGGCAUGUAGUUUGUCUUUCACCCACGUGUGUAUUUAUUGCAGGCGUCUGACCAACACACAAGUUCAGAGAAAAGAGCAGCAAAAACUGAAGUGAAUGAAAUGCAAAAGCAAGAAAUUAAAGAGGCCUUUGACUUAUUUGAUGCUGAUGGCUCUGGGACCAUAGAUGUGAAAGAACUGAAGAUUGCAUUGCGGGCCUUAGGAUUUGAGCCAAAGAAAGAAGAACUUAAACAAAUGAUAGCUGAAAUGGACAAAGAAGGAAUUGGCACCAUUAGUUUUGAAAAUUUUUUUUGCCAUUAUAAGUGUAAAAAUGGGUGAGAAAGAUGAAAAAGAAGAAAUAUUGAAGGCUUUCAAAUUAUUUGAUGAUGAUGAUACUGGGAGGAUAACACUAAGUAAUAUCAGGAGAGCCGCCAAGGAGCUCGGGGAGAAUUUAACAGAUGA